AGAGUUUGAUCCUGGCUCAGGACGAACGCUGGCGGCGUGCCUAACACAUGCAAGUCGAACGGGGCGAAGGGAGCUUGCUCCUGGAGCCUAGUGGCGGACGGGUGAGUAACGCGUGAGUAACCUGCCUUUCAGAGGGGGAUAACAUUCUGAAAAGGAUGCUAAUACCGCAUAAAGUCAGAGUGUCGCAUGGCGCACUGACCAAAGGAGCAAUCCGCUGAAAGAUGGACUCGCGUCCGAUUAGCUAGUUGGCGGGGUAAAGGCCCACCAAGGCGACGAUCGGUAGCCGGACUGAGAGGUUGAACGGCCACAUUGGGACUGAGACACGGCCCAGACUCCUACGGGAGGCAGCAGUGGGGGAUAUUGCACAAUGGGGGAAACCCUGAUGCAGCAACGCCGCGUGAGUGACGAAGGUCUUCGGAUUGUAAAACUCUGUUCUUGGUGAAGAUAAUGACGGUAGCCAAGGAGAAAGCUCCGGCUAACUACGUG
rnacentral:rRNA from 1 species